rnacentral:tRNA from 1 species
GGCUCGGUAGCUCAGUGGUAGAGCAGGAGAAUCAUAAUCUCUUGGUCGGGGGUUCAAAUCCCUCCCGAGCCACCA